rnacentral:rRNA from 1 species
GAUGAACGCUGGCGGCGCGCCUAACACAUGCAAGUCGAACGAUUAAAGCACCUUCGGGUGUGUAUAAAGUGGCGAACGGCUGAGUAACACGUGGGCAACCUGCCCCUUUCAUUGGGAUAGCCACGGGAAACCGUGGAUAAUACCGAAUACUUCGAGACUUCCGCAUGGAAGACUCGAGAAAGCUCCGGCGGAGAGGGAUGGGCCCGCGGCCUGUUAGCUUGUUGGUGGGGUAACGGCCUACCAAGGCAAUGAUGGGUAGCUGGGUUGAGAGACCGACCAGCCAGAUUGGGACUGAGACACGGCCCAGACUCCUACGGGCGGCAGCAGUGGGGAAUCUUGCACAAUGGGCGAAAGCCUGAUGCAGCGACGCCGCGUGCGGGAUGAAGGCCUUCGGGUUGUAAACCGCUUUCAGCAGGGACGAGGCGAAAGUGACGGUACCUGCAGAAGAAGCCCCGGCUAACUACGUG